UGCCAGCCGCCGCGGUAAUACGGAGGGUGCAAGCGUUAAUCGGAAUUACUGGGCGUAAAGCGCGCGUAGGCGGCUGUUUAAGUCGGGUGUGAAAGCCCCGGGCUCAACCUGGGAACUGCAUUUAAUACUGCCAGACUUGAGAUCGGAAGAGGAAAGCGGAAUUUCUAGUGUAGAGGUGAAAUUCGUAGAUAUUAGAAGGAACAUCAGAGGCGAAGGCGGCCUUCUGGUCCGAUACUGACGCUGAGGUACGAAAGUGUGGGGAGCAAACAGGAUUAGAUA
rnacentral:rRNA from 1 species